rnacentral:rRNA from 1 species
GAACCAUUUGGGGCUGUGGAAACCUCCUUGAUUGGUGGUAGAAGCGCUUCCGCAUUCAACACAUGCAUAUGCCCCUGUCCGUGGAGGUUACUGUGAACAAAACAGCGUGUCCAAAGCAACCACAUGUCUGGCUGAAUGAUCUAGCAUGGAAUAACAAGGCAUCGACCACUGGAGUCAGCCUUUUUGUUGGUUUUACAUGACCCAGUUGGGCAAUGCAGGGCUUGUGCUUCAUUGAGGUUCUUAGUCAGCUCUACCGAACUGUCUUCCCUCAGUUGGACCUUGUUCCCUAUCGGGAUCAAUGGAAGCCAUCGGGGUGGUAUGUAUUCCGACGUGAGCGGUGAAAUGCUUAGACCGUUGGAAGACAAACGACAGCGAAGGCAUUCCGCCAGAAUGUUUUCAUUAAUCAAGAACGAGAGUGUGGGGAUCGAAGAUGAUCAGAUACCAUCGUAGUCCAUUACCGUAAACUAUGCCAACUCGGCAUUGGGAGUCUGUUCACUUUGAAGACUCUCCCAGCAUCAUCCCCCAAUAACGAGAAAUCCAAGUCUAUGGGUUCAGGGGGGAGUACAGUCGCAAGGCUGAAACUUAAAGGAAUUGACGGAAUGACACCACAAGGCGUGGAGUAUGCGGCUUAAUUUGACCCAACACGGGGAAGCUUACCAGGUCAGACACAGUAAGGAUUGACAGAUUGAGAGCUCUUUCUUGAUCCUAUGGAUGGUGGUGCAUGGCCGUUUCUGGUUCGUGGAGUGAUCUGUCUGCUUAAUUGCGAUAACGAACGAGAUCUCUACCUCUAAAUAGGCGCCGGUCUCGCAUGUAAGUAGGGAUGUGUUGGGGGCCUUCGUGUCCCCUCAUGUCCUGAGAGUGCCGGGAUCGCUUCUUAGACGGACUGUGCAUGUCUUUAAUGCACGGAAGAGGGAGUCAAUAGCAGGUCUGUGAUGCUCCUAGAUGUUCUGGGCUGCACGCGCACUACACUGGCACAGUAAACGAGUUGCACCUGCUUCGGCAGUCCUGCUUAGAAGUGAGCGUGGGAAAUCUUAGAAAACUGUGCCGUGCUGGGGAUAGAUGAUUGCGAUUAUUUGUCUUGAACGAGGAAUGCCUAGUAGAGGUACUUCAUCAGAGUACCUUGAUUGUGUCCCUGCCAUUUGUACACACCGCCCGUCGUUGCUACCGAUUGGCUGUAAAAUAGAGGCCUUAAGAGUCGCUUCCGCAAAGCUUUGCUUUUGAGGUUGUGACAAAUCUGGCCAAUAUUUCAUUGCUAGAGGAAGCAAAAGUCGUAACAAGG